rnacentral:rRNA from 1 species
GUUAUAUGGUCAAGUGAAGAAGCGCAUACGGUGGAUGCCUUGGCAGUCAGAGGCGAUGAAAGACGUGGUAGCCUGCGAAAAGCUUCGGGGAGUCGGCAAACAGACUUUGAUCCGGAGAUCUCUGAAUGGGGGAACCCAGCCAUCAUAAGAUGGUUAUCACACACUGAAUACAUAGGUGUGUGAGGCGAACCAGGGGAACUGAAACAUCUAAGUACCCUGAGGAAAAGAAAUCAACCGAGAUUCCCUUAGUAGUGGCGAGCGAACGGGGACUAGCCCUUAAGCUUCUUUGAUUUUAGCGGAACGCUCUGGAAAGUGCGGCCAUAGUGGGUGAUAGCCCUGUACGCGAAAGGAUCUUAGAAGUGAAAUCGAGUAGGACGGAGCACGAGAAACUUUGUCUGAAUAUGGGGGGACCAUCCUCCAAGGCUAAAUACUACUGACUGACCGAUAGUGAACCAGUACCGUGAGGGAAAGGCGAAAAGAACCCCGGAGAGGGGAGUGAAAUAGAACCUGAAACCGUAUGCGUACAAGCAGUGGGAGCCUACUUUGUUAGGUGACUGCGUACCUUUUGUAUAAUGGGUCAGCGACUUAUUUUCAGUGGCGAGCUUAACCGAAUAGGGGGCGUAGCGAAAGCGAGUCUUAAUAGG